GGUUUGUGGAAAGACCUUUUCAGAAAAACACAAGGCAAAGCCUUGACUUCCAGCUUUGACUUAUUCUCUUCCUAUAUCAGCGCUUAUGUGGCAAUAUUGUCUGAGUGGCGACGCCUAUCGUCCAGGAGAAUACUGCAGCGGCUUCCUGUGCCUUACCGGCGGAUAUACAGUGACGAGUACCUGGAACUUAGAGGGGAUUUGAGACAAAUUUAACGUCGCCAGCUUCGCACAGAUCUGCAAAUGUAAGCUGCUUUCAAGUUCCAGUGUAAAACUGGGACAUUUGGGCUUCCAUUGUAUACCUGCAUUUUGUUUUCAGAUGAAGUAGUCUUUUCUUUCUAAAAAACAAACAAACUCGAAAGCGUUAUUUAUCAUUGCAGACACUAUACAGUAGCCUGUAAAGGUUAGUAUAUCGUUUAAAUAAUCUGUUGUUACAUGCUGAACGCUCUUCUGUGGGGAAAAGCCAACCAGUGCUCAGCUGCAGAUAGAGGGAACAACAUGGUUGUAUCAUCCUCUCGAGUGAGUAUAGUUUUCCUUUUCAAGAUCAGCUCUAUAAAUUCGCUAUAGGCUCCUCUUGUUCAUGUGUAUCUUUUAUCAGUUUAUUUAUUUGUUUCUUUUUGUGUCAUUUCAGUUAUUACAUUAUGUGUGGUAUAGUAUGACAAUGUCUAAGGCAGGACAGGCAAGAGGAGAAAUAAAAGGGGGAAGGAGGGAAGAAAUAAGGGAAAAUAUAAUAAAAGGAUAGUGGCACGAGCCGAGAACAGGGUCCCAGGGCUCCAGGCGCCCAAGAAUUGGCCAGCACCUGAGCCAGAGCCCCCUAACAAGGAAGAGGUCCAAGCCAUCCCAUACCAGCAAGGGAGCGGCUCAACAACCACACCAGAACAUCCAGCCACGUGCCGUUGAUCCCUCCCUGGGAUGCUGCCCCUCCCUACAUCCCAGGGAGGGGCAGCAUCGUCCAGCGGAAAGUGGUAGGAAGAGGGAACCACUCCCUCCAUGACCAUUUCCCAAAGGGGCCAAGGCUCUGCAAGCCCCAGGUCCGGUCAUGAGCUUACACUGAAUUUUUGAGCCAGUAUUUUGUACUGGUCUUACUGAAGUGCUCUUACUGAACCAUUGCUAAUAAAUUGCUCCACACUGCAGUUUUGACAUCACAAUAAUUUGCCUCGCUUAGUAAAUCUGUCCCAUGGCAUAUAAAAUUAAAUACAUCUUAUUUUCUUAUAUUUUAUGGUUGUGGUCCAGUUUAACCCGUUUCCUCCUUCCUGGUUAGAAUUUCAAAAUAGGCCAGGGGUCAAAAAGAGGAACACCAAUGCCCUGUUCCACACUAAUAUAAUCAGUAUUUUCACAAUCGAGGUAAACAAGGCAAACAAGCUAGAAAACGUGGUCCCAAUAUGAUAGAGAAGCUUAAACAUGACUAGAGUUUGCUUAUGAAGAAAUCAAUGGCAUUAACAAAAGAAAAAAACAAGCUCUUGAGAAAAUAUUCAAAAACAGCAAAGUGAUAUCAGUAACAGAUUAUCUGAAGCGGAGUGCUACAAAAAAGGAUGGCGUCUGCAUCUGUACGCUGAGAAUGAACAAGAGAACAGGACAUGAGACAGAAAGUAUCCUGAUUCUGUCAGAAAGCUGCUACCGAGCUCAGACAGAAGGCAAUGAUUGAUGUGACACACACGCUGGGCAGACGAGCCAUGUGCAAUCAUCGUCCUCUGCUCUGUGAGAAACAUCUGAAAGAGAGCAAACAACAGUUCCUUCCUGAAAGAGAAGAAGCUUCAUUUUGGUGAGAACGAGAGUGGUCAGAGCAGCGCUGUGGAAACAGCUUACAUCCAAAGAUUCUACUCUGUCUAUAAUCACGUUUUGGUUGAUUUCAGCAGAGCUUGAACUGAAUAUAAAUGAGGCAGACAUUUUUCCUGCUAUUUUGAAAGACCACAACAUUUUGACACUGACACCAAAUAUCAGUAAGUGGAACAAUAGAAGGGGUUAGGCUCAGACUAGCUCACUUCUGAAGAGUGAACAGCCCAUAUCAGAUAUCAAGGAUGUUAUAGGAAAGUCCUGGAAUUUGGCCUCAAAAAGUAAUGUAUGUGGAAAAUACUGGGAAUUUCUAAGGUUUUAAAUGAGAAAGAUAGCCACUGCAUAUGGCAAAAAAACAAGCACAUAAAAUAGCUCAAAAAUAAUCAUGUUUCUGCUGUCAAUUUACCAAUUAAAUGAUUAGCUGCUCUCUUUAAUUGAAGCGAUCUGUAAAAGAAGAACUGUCCCCUUCAUUGAAGAAAGGACAUCUCCCUUUAAUUCCCCAAACCAACAAAGAUCCUUUAUUUAUUGAUAACUGGAGACCAAUUACACUCAACAAUGAUUAUAAAAUGACAAUUUUCAUAGUAGCAAAGUGUUGAAACACUGAUCCAAAUAAAAGAAUUCAGGAAUCCCACUGUGGAUUCAUGAGUGGCAUUCAUAUCUCAAUAAUAUUCACCUGUUCUUGGAGCUAACUACAAAUAAUGGCUUGUUGGCAGUCACCUGAUUUUAUUCUUGAUUCUCUACAGUUCUCCACAAUUUUAUCUUUAACCCUAAAUUUUUAAAAAUUUGAUAACUUUUUUUAUCAAAGCAAUCAAGACAUCAUCGGUGAAACUGCCAUCACUCAGAUUAAGAGGGGAAUUUCGUUAUGGCCAUCCCAUCUCUUCUUAGCGGUAAGCCAAAUUCUGAACCUUUCAGUAAUCUACCAUAAGUUUAGUUGCAUUAUCUUUAAAUAUACACAAGUCACUGUCUCUGGGGUGACUGUAGCUCAGGAGGUAGAGUGGGUCACUUUAGUGGUUUGAUCCCUGUCUGCAUAAAUAACCCCAAGCUGCUCUCUGAUGCAUCCAUUUGAGUACGAAUGUGUGUGACUGUUAGAUAAAAAGCACAUAAGUAUAAGAAAAAAGUGAUUGUAUUAAUGGCAAAUGGACUGAUAUGAAUGGUGCUUUUCUACUCUCUCAAACACAAUAAUAAUAAUGUGUACGUUGCUCAGGGGUACCUCAAGGGAGCCGUUCAGUGGAUUCAAACCCCCGACCUUCCGAUCAUGGGGCAACCACUCUACCUACUUAGCUAUCCCUGCCCCUCAAUGUGUCACAAUGACACAAAUGAAAUCUCAAAGUCUGAUCUGUUAUUAACAUCAGGCUUAAACCUUAAUUUAAAUAAUUUUGACAUUCUUGCUUUAAAAGACAUUGCUGAUACAGAAAUAUCCCAGUUAAAAAUAUUGUUAAAUAUUUGGGAGUUUUGAUCCCAGUGGAGGACAAAAGCUUGAUGGAUGAUAACAUAGACCUGGUGAUUUGAUAUGUUCAAAUGAAAUGUAGCUCCUAGCUGGCUAAAGACUUCCUCUUUAUGUGUAAGUGCUGUUAAGCGAAGAAAUAAGCUGCACAACAUUUUACCCUGCAUUUAAUCAGAUUAUCACAAUUAUUGGUCCAGUUGCUGCAUCCGCACAGAGGAUGGCUACACGGAUUUCUUCACCAUUGAGACCGGUGUGAGGCAAGGGGGUAUCCUCUCUCCCUUCCUCAUCCUUCUUGCCAUUGACUUUGUUAUGCAGAGUGCCAUGGACCAAGAUGGCUUUGGGAUACCUUGGCAUCCACCAACAUGCCUCAAGGACCUCGACUUUGCAGACAACAUCGCUUUGUUGGCUGAAGUCUGGAAAAACAUGACUACUAUGACAUCAUGCUUGGAGCAAGAGGCAGCCAAAGUGAGCUUAUGGAUCAGUGGAAACAAAACCAAGGUCAUGAGGACAGGUUACGUGACGAAACAGGACCCCAUUACGGUAGGACUGCAACCACUGGAGGAGGUGAAUCAAUUCACCUACCUGGGCAGCAUCCUGGCAAGUGAUGGAGAUGCUGAGCAUGACGUUGUGUGUCGAAUUGUUAAAGCAGGUGCGGUCUUUCAGCAGCUCCGGCCAAUCUGGUCGACCCCAAAGAUCGUGGUCAACUCCAUCGUUAUACCUACUGCAAUCUACACUUGUGAGACGUGGAAAACAUCAGCCAGAAUUGCAAAAAGACUCCAUGUGGCCCAGCAGCAAUGGCUAAGACGUAUUCUGGGGGUCUCCUACCGGGACCAUGUCACCAACGAAUAAGUACACCAUCGAACUGCCACACGUCCCCUCCAGGACAUUGUGACUGAGUGGCGGGUGCGGUUUGGAGGUCAUGUUCUACGUCAACCCCCACAUCAACUGCCCAAGAUUGCCAUCACAUGGAACCCACCCCAUGGAAGACGCAAACCAGGCCGCCCCCAUACAACAUGGCAGAGGACCUUCAUCGAUGACUUAUGCACCAUAGACAUUGCAUGGGAUGAGGCCGAAGCAGCCGAUCGAGUAGGUUGGUGGACACUUGCCGCCCAAUGCGCUGAACAGCACAGGAGGACCUAAGUCCAAUCACAAGGCAUUAAUGCAGAAACCAGCGCAGUGCUUCAGAUGGAUGUCAGAGCCUGAAGAUUUGAUAUAUGCUGUUAAGGAAUAUUGAACACAUUUAAGGUCCCGCGAUGGUGGAAGAUGGUUUGACUUCCAGUGACAGGUUUCUUUCUUGGUCUUUUUAUAUCCUGUCUUUUUCAAAUAAAGUUUUUCUAUUAAAUGUGCUUUAAGUUGUGGAAAAUCUUUCUUUAAACUGUGAAUGGCAAGUAGAAGUAAAGAUGAGGGCAGCUGCGAAUGAGACCUCUCAGUCUUUUGCUUUCUGAUUGGCUGACUUCCACCCCCACACC